rnacentral:rRNA from 1 species
AUUGAACGCUGGCGGCAUGCUUUACACAUGCAAGUCGAACGGUAACAGGCCGCAAGGUGCUGACGAGUGGCGAACGGGUGAGUAAUGCAUCGGAACGUGCCCAGUCGUGGGGGAUAACUACUCGAAAGAGUAGCUAAUACCGCAUACGAUCUAUGGAUGAAAGCGGGGGACCGUAAGGCCUCGCGCGAUUGGAGCGGCCGAUGUCAGAUUAGGUAGUUGGUGGGGUAAGGCUCACCAAGCCAACGAUCUGUAGCUGGUCUGAGAGGACAACCAGCCACACUGGGACUGAGACACGGCCCAGACUCCUACGGGAGGCAGCAGUGGGGAAUUUUGGACAAUGGGCACAAGCCUGAUCCAGCAAUGCCGCGUGCAGGAAGAAGGCCUUCGGGUUGUAAACUGCUUUUGUACGGAACGAAACGGCUCUGGUUAAUACCCGGGGCUAAUGACGGUACCGUAAGAAUAAGCACCGGCUAACUACGUG